rnacentral:rRNA from 1 species
AUGGAGACGCCUUCAGAACGGCCGGCGGUGAGGCUCAUCGGCUGGCUGAGCCCGUACGUGCACCGGGCAGAGGUGGCCCUGCGCCUCAAGGGCGUCCCCUACGACCUCCUCCACGACGACAUGGCCAGCAAGAGCCACCUGCUGCUCGCCCACAACCCCGUCCACAAGAAGGUCCCCGUCCUCCUCCACGGCGACCGCUCCAUCGCCGAAUCUCUCGUCAUCGUCGAGUACGUCGACGAGGCCUUCCCCGCCGGCCCGCCGCUGCUCCCCGCCGACCCGCUCGCCCGCGCCAACGCCCGCUUCUGGGCCCGCUUCCUCGACGACAAGUGCUGGAAGGCCCUGUGGGUGGCGCUGUGGGCGGAGCCGGGCGAGGCGCGGGCGGCGGCGGCGAGGGAGGCCAAGGAGGGCCUGGCGCUGCUGGAGGCGCAGCUGCCGGCGGGGAAGCGGUUCUUCGGCGGCGACGCCAUCGGCCUCCUCGACAUCGCCGCCAGCGGGGUGGCGCGCUGGCUGGGGGUGUUCGAGGAGAUGGCCGGGGUGUGGCUGCUCACCGAGGAGGAGCGCCCGGCGCUGUGCCAGUGGGCGAGGGAGAACGCAUGA